ensembl:lncRNA
GUACCACUUUUGGUAACAUUGUUCACCAGACUCCUUCUAAAUCAAUAAAGGACCGAGACAAAUCAGCUGUGUUCAUAUGUUCACACGAUAUAGCAAGUUAUUUCCAAAUGAUGUGGUACAAACAAACCCAGAGCACCCUGGAAUUAAAACUAAUGGGAAUCCUUAAUGGUGAAAAUGAUCAAAUAGAAACAGAAUUUAAAAACAAGAUUUUUCUGAAUGGAAACGGAAGGCGUAACGGCACUCUAACAAUUAAAACCCUCACAGUGAAUGACAGUGCGGUGUAUUUCUGUGCAGCAUAUGACACAGUGCUCUAAACUCCCUCCGUCUAAUACAAAAACUUGGCACUGUUACAGAAAUAGUUUAUCAACAAAAAGAUCCAGCCUUUGCUUUCUAACUAUAUUUGUCGCAACCUUUUGAUUCUUUGCCAAUAAUGAGCAAUAAUGAGAUGUGGGUGUAAAAGAAAAUAUCUUACCAGUGUGUGAUUCUAAGCAAUUAUUAUUGCUUGUGCUUACUAAAGAAAGCAUCAUUAUUACUCACACUUCCUAAUAUUAAUGACUGGUCAUUUACACAAACCCUUCAAAGUGAGGUGAAUGAAUGAAGCAUUUACAUAGAGCUGUAUUGUGUAUUGCUGUACACCCAAAGCACUUUACAAUCAUAUCAUGGGAUCUCUCCUCAACCACCAGCAGUGUGCAGCAUCCACCUGGAGUACAGAGUACAACGGCACCAGCGCACUCACCACUCACCAGCUAAAGGUGGAGAAGAGAGAGACAGAUAUUUGAAUUAGAAAAAAAUAUUUUAUUAAUAAUCAGAGCUUGGAGUAAUAAUAUGCAUAUUAUUAUUCGUUACUGUAACCACCUAUGAUGUCAUAUCCUGUUCAACAAAAGCUAGAGUUUGAAGCAGUUCAAAGGUUGAGACUCACUCUCCCAUCAAAACUCAACAUGACUAGUGCUAUUAUUACAUUGAUUCUGUUCCUGCGCUGCAGUCUAGCUGCUGUUGGUGGAGAUGAUGUUUUUCAAGAGCCUAAAAUUCUCUGGGAACCAAAGAACGGUUCUGCUUCUUUGAAUUGCAAUCACAAAAAGCCUAUUUCAUACAACCAGAUGUACUGGUACCGACAGCGUCCAGGAGAAACUAUGAGGCUCAUUGUAUUCACUGUGGCUGGUGGUAAUCCAGAAUUUGGAGAUGUUGAAAAGAAGAAAUAUGAAGCUCACAAAAGUGUUGCUGUAAGUGGAUCAUUGAAAGUGAAAGAUCUCGAGCCAGACGACAGUGGCAUAUAUUUCUGUGCCGUGAGUCAACACAGUGUGUCAAAGGCUGGAGAAUGCUGUACAAAAACAUUCGGUGCAGAAAAAGACAAUGACAGCAUUAGUCAACAGGUGGCAGUCUGGUAUAACAAUAAGCAACAUUUCAAAACAGUCGAACUGAAAAAAAUAAAAAAAAUAAACGCUUGUUUAUAGAAUAGAGAAGUGCAAAAACAUGUGCCAAGGAUGGCCAAACAAUACAUAACAAUUAUAAUUAGGAUAUAAAGAGAGAAGAGAAAAAAAACCUUAAAAAAAAAAAAAAAAAAAAAACAUUAUAUUAUAAUAACCAAUAUUUCAUACAGAGUAUAAUAUUAUUAAAAUAGAAAUUAUACAAAAAUUCCAAAAAGUGAUCAUAAAUUCAAGGUUUUAGUUGCCUUUUAUUACAGGAGGUUGAAAAAUAUUCAAUAUAGGCUUUUUCAUUUCAUUUUAUUGCCUUGUAUUUUCAGGGUUUGUAUUUUCAGGGUCUGAAAUUAACAUAGUCGUUUAUUUAAGCUGUGAAUAUUUCACUUCAAAACAUUUCACACACAAUCAUAAUAACAAAAAAAAAAAAAUCAAUGAUUCAUAUUCACCUUCC